rnacentral:rRNA from 1 species
AACGAACGCUGGCGGCAUGCCUAACACAUGCAAGUCGAACGAGACCUUCGGGUCUAGUGGCGCACGGGUGCGUAACGCGUGGGAACCUGCCCUUAGGUUCGGACUAACUCCCCGAAAGGGGUGCUAAUACCGGAUAAUGUCUUCGGCCCAAAGAUUUAUCGCCUUUGGAUGGGCCCGCGUUGGAUUAGCUAGUUGGUAGGGUAAAAGCCUACCAAGGCGACGAUCCAUAGCUGGUCUGAGAGGAUGAUCAGCCACACUGGGACUGAGACACGGCCCAGAAUCCUACGGGAGGCAGCAGUGGGGAAUAUUGGAAAAUGGGCGAAAGCCUGAUCCAGCAAGGCCGCGUGAGUGAUGAAGGCCGUAGGGUUGUAAAGCUCUUUUACCCGGGAUGAUAAUGACAGUACCGGGAGAAUAAGCUCCGGCUAACUCCGUG